rnacentral:lncRNA from 1 species
ACAUGUACAAGGAAAACCAACAAGAGAGAUGACGAGAACUGACUUGAAGAUUGGAAAACGGCUCAGGCUCUCUUUAACUGUCUUCCUGUCUUUGAUAAUCUUGAGUAUUAUUUCUGUUGCAGAUUCUCUUGAUGGCAAUGCAAACUCCUCCUGCAAUGACACACCCGAUGUGUGUCCAUUGCCUGUCUUCGCCGCCCAGUAUAUCAGUUAUGGGAGUUUAGGAAGGCAGGCAUUUUGCAAUUCAGAAAUAUACGGCAACUGCAUAGAACGGGCCGGCGGGAAUACUCGGCCUUGCACUUACUAUACAAGAUGCAGAGGCUGAGGCAGUCAAAGAAUGAGGAAGAGAGACGGCUAGAUGCCAGGUCUGCACAUCUAUGUAAUAUAAUUAUCCUGAGAAUAAAAAUUUGCUUCUCUUUUUUCUUUUUCUUUUUCGUGUCUGCUUAGUGUUAUAAAAAAAUUUAAUUCGUGUUGUACUUUAUAUAUUAAUGUAAAAAGAAUCACAAGCAUCCGUUCUAUAAUAGUAGUUUAUUUUCAUCUUAGAUAUGAACUAAAAGAAAAUUAAGUUUAUUUAAUUGAUGCCAUUAAAUUUUAUUGUUUUAUUCUUUUUAAUUUAUGAGAGGGUUCUCUUUUUUCUUUUUUUGUUUUGGUUGUUCACCGCUCAUGAAGAAGCUGGAAUAACUCAGAAAGAUAGUGGCGCCUAGAUGUUGAGAACGUCUGACGUGUAGAGGAACAGUAUGAUCUUGGACUGGCCCUUCGGAUGACCUAGAAAGGAAAAGAGAAUUUCUAAAGCCCCUUAUCAGGCUUAUGAAAGAGAAUAAGUGAAAAUUUUUACUAAUUAUAAAAGGUAAAAAUUGAUCUAGAUAGUGAGUAAAAGAUUUAAAUUUAGAUAUUUUUAUUCUCAAAAAUAAAUAUUUUAACCACUUGAACUAAAUUUUUAAUGUUUUAUUUAUAAUAUAC